rnacentral:tRNA from 1 species
CAAUUAGUAAUUUAAUUAAAAAUAUAGGCUUUGGGAGCUUAAUUUUGAGACACCUCACUAAUUGA